rnacentral:rRNA from 1 species
GUAGGGCGCAAGCGUUGUCCGGAAUUAUUGGGCGUAAAGAGCUCGUAGGCGGCUUGUCACGUCGGAUGUGAAAGCCCGAGGCUUAACCUCGGGUCUGCAUUCGAUACGGGCUGGCUAGAGUGUGGUAGGGGAGAUCGGAAUUCCUGGUGUAGCGGUGAAAUGCGCAGAUAUCAGGAGGAACACCGGUGGCGAAGGCGGAUCUCUGGGCCAUUACUGACGCUGAGGAGCGAAAGCGUGGGGAGCGAACAGGAUUAGAUACCCUGGUAGUCCACGCCGUAAACGUUGGGAACUAGGUGUUGGCGACAUUCCACGUCGUCGGUGCCGCAGCUAACGCAUUAAGUUCCCCGCCUGGGGAGUACGGCCGCAAGGCUAAA